rnacentral:rRNA from 1 species
AUUGAACGCUGGCGGCAGGCUUAACACAUGCAAGUCGAGCGAGUGGCGGACGGGUGAGUAAUGUCUGGGAAACUGCCUGAUGGAGGGGGAUCACUACUGGGAACGGUAGCCAAAUACGCACACCAUAUGAUGAGCCCAGGUGGGAAGAGCGAGUGGGGGGGGGAAUGGCUCACCUAGGCGACGAUCUCUAGCGGGUCUGAGAGGAUGACCAGCCACACUGGAACUGAGACACGGUCAAGACUCCUACGGGAGGCAGAAUGGGGGAAUAUUGGACAAUGGGCGAAAGCCUGAUGCAGCCAUGCCGCGUGUGUGAAGAAGGCCUUCGGUUUGUAAAGCACGUUAAGCGGGGAGGCGUUACUCGCAGAAGAAGCACCGGCUAACUCCGUGCCAGCAGCCGCGGUAAUUC